rnacentral:lncRNA from 12 species
GCUGUGCAUCUGGGUUUUACAUCAGAAACACGCUCUCUUGUUUGUGUGGAACUCAUUCAGAAAAGUGGCUGGACUGUUUUUCAAAAGUGGGAUGCUGUAGCUGUGUACCAAUGGAGUGCCAAAAGACAUAGGUUUAUGUGCCCUUGUUUCUGGUUGCAGGAAAAGACAUCAAGACAGAGCACAUAUGAAAUUCUGCCUGUGUAAUGAAGAAUAUUCUUUGACUACACUGUUUCCAGUGUAAACUGCUGAACUUACAAACACAAGUUGCAUGGGAGAUAAGCCAAGAACAAGGAUAUCCUGAACUAAUUUAUACUCUUCAUGUGGAACACUGGUGGCUGGUAUUGAGAGUAAAGCAAGGAAGAUGUGAAAAUUUGAGGGCUGCUGGUAUCUUUGAUAUAUUUCUAGCAAUGCCUUUCAUGAGAAUUUUAGUUCUUUGUGAAUUCAAAAACAGAGGUGAUAAACCAGGUAAG